rnacentral:rRNA from 1 species
GGGUGCUAUACAUGCAAGUAGAACGCUGAAGAGAGGAGCUUGCUCUUCUUGGAUGAGUUGCGAACGGGUGAGUAACGCGUAGGUAACCUGCCUUGUAGCGGGGGAUAACUAUUGGAAACGAUAGCUAAUACCGCAUAACAAUGGAUGACACAUGUCAUUUAUUUGAAAGGGGCAAUUGCUCCACUACAAGAUGGACCUGCGUUGUAUUAGCUAGUAGGUGAGGUAACGGCUCACCUAGGCGACGAUACAUAGCCGACCUGAGAGGGUGAUCGGCCACACUGGGACUGAGACACGGCCCAGACUCCUACGGGAGGCAGCAGUAGGGAAUCUUCGGCAAUGGGGGCAACCCUGACCGAGCAACGCCGCGUGAGUGAAGAAGGUUUUCGGAUCGUAAAGCUCUGUUGUAAGUCAAGAACGAGUGUGAGAGUGGAAAGUUCACACUGUGACGGUAGCUUACCAGAAAGGGACGGCUAACUACGUGCCAGCAGCCGCGGUAAUACGUAGGUCCCGAGCGUUGUCCGGAUUUAUUGGGCGUAAAGCGAGCGCAGGCGGUUUGAUAAGUCUGAAGUUAAAGGCUGUGGCUCAACCAUAGUUCGCUUUGGAAACUGUCAAACUUGAGUGCAGAAGGGGAGAGUGGAAUUCCAUGUGUAGCGGUGAAAUGCGUAGAUAUAUGGAGGAACACCGGUGGCGAAAGCGGCUCUCUGGUCUGUAACUGACGCUGAGCUCGAAAGCGUGGGGAGCGAACAGGAUUAGAUACCCUGGUAGUCCACGCCGUAAACGAUGAGUGCUAGUGUUGGAUCCUUUCCCGGGAUUCAGUGCCGCAGCUAACGCAUUAAGCACUCCGCCUGGGGAGUACGACCGCAAGUGAAA